UUCUUAGGAGAAUGGUGAGUAGCAGAAUUGUUAUUGGUUAUUGGCCUCUGUGUAGCUAAGAUCCUGCAGUGAUGUUUGGUGUUCUUGAUUGUAGCUGAGCAAGGGGCCACAGUCGGUGACUCCAGGAAACUGCCAGCAGGCGAGGCGGCCUUCCUCGGCACCCGACGAGCAGCCAGAUGGAAUCCGUGGCAGAGGGCCCCGUCACGGGAACUAAAGCCAGUUACUAGCAGUCAAGGCGGUCAGCUGGUAUUACGCCGAGACCCCCCUCAGCAACGGGCCCGCAGACCCCCGCUUCGUCACUCUCGUGGGAAUUCGGGAAGCGGUGCACGGAACUGUGAUGAAGCCCUGAUCUUUGUCAUUUGAAGGUGUCACCCGGGGAGCCUUCAGGAGCGGCCGAGGAGUUGCUGCAGACCCUGCCGCGAGGGCAUCGGCCUCCGGGCGCGGCCAGAU